AAGUCGAGCGGCAAGGGGUAGCAAUACCUCCUAGAGCGGCGGACUGGUGAGUAACGCGUGGGUGACCUACCCAUAGGACUGGGAUAGCCAUUAGAAAUAGUGGGUAAUACCGGAUAAGGUUAUGCUGUUAUGACGGUAUAAAGAAAGGGGCUCUGGCCCCGCCUGAGGAUGGGCCCGCGUCCCAUUAGGUAGUUGGCUGGGUAAAGGCCUACCAAGCCUGAGAUGGGUAGCCGGCCUGAGAGGGUGGACGGCCACACUGGGACUGAGAUACGGCCCAGACUCCUACGGGAGGCAGCAGCUAAGAAUAUUCCGCAAUGGGCGAAAGCCUGACGGAGCGACGCCGCGUGUACGAGGAAGGCCGAAAGGUUGUAAAGUACUUUUGCCGGGGAGGAAUAAGGCGGGGAGGGAAUGCCCUGCUGAUGACGCGAACCGGCGAAUAAGCCCCGGCUAAUUACGUGCCAGCAGCCGCGGUAACACGUAAGGGGCGAGCGUUGUUCGGAAUUAUUGGGCGUAAAGGGCGCGUAGGCGGCUAGGUAAGUCUGGUGUGAAAUGGCGGAGCUCAACUCCGUCCUGGCAUGGGAAACUGCCUGGCUAGAGUCAUGGAGGGGGAGUUGGAAUUCCUGGUGUAGGGGUGAAAUCUGUAGAUAUCAGGAAGAACACCGGUGGCGAAGGCGAACUUCUAGCCGAUGACUGACGCUGAGGCGCGAAA
rnacentral:rRNA from 1 species